ACGGGAAAAGGGAAAGGGACUUAGUGGCGGACGGGUGAGUAACGCGUGGGUAACCUGGCCCAUACAGGGGGAUAACACUUAGAAAUAGGUGCUAAUACCGCAUAACAACAGAAAGCGCAUGCUUUUUGUUUGAAAACCAAGGUGGUAUGGGAUGGACCCGCGUCUGAUUAGCUGGUUGGCGGGGUAAAGGCCCACCAAGGCGACGAUCAGUAGCCGGCCUGAGAGGGUGGACGGCCACAUUGGGACUGAGACACGGCCCAAACUCCUACGGGAGGCAGCAG
rnacentral:rRNA from 1 species